rnacentral:rRNA from 1 species
UACGGAGGGUGCAAACGUUGUCCGGAAUCACUGGGCGUAAAGCGCAUGUAGGUGGUUUAUUAAGUGAACGAUUAAAGACCGACGCCUAACGUCGGGAAGGUUGUUCAUACUGGUAGACUUGAGUAUGGCAGGGGUAAGCGGAACUUUAGGUGUAGGAGUGAAAUCCGUAGAUAUCUAAAGGAACACCAAUGGCGAAGGCAGCUUACUGGGCCAUUACUGACACUGAGAUGCGAAAGUGUGGGAGCAAACGGG